UGGGGAAUAUUGCACAAUAGGGGAAACCCUGAUGCAGCGACGCCGCGUGAGCGAUGAAGUAUUUCGGUAUGUAAAGCUCUAUCAGCAGGGAAGAUAAUGACGGUACCUGACUAAGAAGCUCCGGCUAAAUACGUGCCAGCAGCCGCGGUAAUACGUAUGGAGCAAGCGUUAUCCGGAUUUACUGGGUGUAAAGGGAGCGUAGGCGGUCCUGCAAGUCUGAUGUGAAAACCCGGGGCUCAACCCCGGGACUGCAUUGGAAACUGUAGGACUAGAGUGUCGGAGGGGUAAGUGGAAUUCCUAGUGUAGCGGUGAAAUGCGUAGAUAUUAGGAGGAACACCAGUGGCGAAGGCGGCUUACUGGACGACCACUGACGCUGAGGCUCGAAAGCGUGGGGAGCAAACAGG
rnacentral:rRNA from 1 species